AUCUCUCUUCUAACCAGAACAGAAAACCACUUCACAAAAUGUUCUAACAUUAGUUAGGACAUCCUUCACAACAUAACAAAGAACACCAUCUGAUAAUCUUCAAAUAUCAUUGAGUCACCAGCUUGAUCCAAAAGAAACCAGACACAAAUAGGGACAUAUACAUUCUCAUCCCAUUACAAGAGAUAAUCUUCCAUAGAUAGCUCAGAACUCCUACCACAAGCUCCAAGAGAUGAAUAGAAAACACCUCCUUUUGUCUUCAACU
rnacentral:lncRNA from 1 species